UAGCUCAGUGCUCAGAGUGCUUGCUUUGAAUGCAUAAAGCCCUGGGUUCAAUCCCCAG
rnacentral:tRNA from 1 species